CCGUGUCGUGCUCAACAGUUUAUGUGAUUAUGGAGAGCAAGACCAGUAAUGAUUGAUGAGAAUGCUAUUGAUAUUGCUUGAGCAUUAGUGAGUUUUUUCCCUAUGACAAGUCUCAGGAGAAAGUGAGAGCUGGGAGCUUUCACAGUGAAAGGAUUGCUACUACUUGCAAAGAAGGCUAAAUAAACACUGGGUCAUUGAGACACUAUAUGAGGCUACACAGGAACUCCAUAUAAAUUUCAAACUCUUUCUAAGGGAGCGCUACCCUUUCCUGAAUGCCCAUCUUGGCAUAAUAUCUUGUCACCGUUCUACGUAAGAGUAUCACAAGCUACUGGAACAAAGGGCUGUUUGCCUUCCGAGCAACCACAAUUUUAUAGUCAAUGAAUGAUCACUGCACUCGGCUGUCAUCAUUUGGAACUGGGUGUAAAUUCAGUCUUGCCUCGAGUGACAUGGAUGAUUCGGUGGUGGUUUUCCAAAUAAAAAUUUAGUCCCAUCUGGUUUGUUGUGCCCGACACUGCAGCACUUUAUCAUGCAGAAGGUGCUGAUGUUCCUUUGGCUCAAAGUCCUCAUCUUCCUCCUCAGAAAACAGUUACUGUUCUCCCAGUUCUUAAGUAUCCAUCACAUCCCUACUGUAGUGCUCCACUUGUGUAGAGCACAGAAUGGUAGGAUUCUGCAGGGGACUACUUGAAGUACACUGCAAGGCUACCGUGGACCAAUUCAAGCAUCGGUGGGCUAUGUACAGGAUCACCAGUUAUCGGUGCAGAGGGUAGUCCUCAUCUCCUGGUAGCCAGUCCUUGAAAAUGUGAGCAGAAACCUAAGUGUUUUCGAGGAAAUAGGCAUGUUGACAACUAUCAAGAUACCUGGUACGUAUGUCAAAGAUGUGAUGCCAUUUACCAUGGAUGACCUGUACAAUGAUGGAAUCAAACCCGUUACUGUUGAAGUCUGCCCAUGAGAAUAUUAUGCAUGCAAAAAUGGAAUGAGAAUUGAGAUGAGAGCUCCCAUACAGGUGUUCAGUGGAUCUUUGAAAGCAGCCAGUUGUAUAAAAAUUUAACUGUCAGACCUCAACAGACACAAAGACAGAUAACAACCACCUCGUCAAAUCACAAGCAUCCUAUCAACAGAUGGCACAGCUCUAUGACAUUGUGGUGGGACAUCCAAAGUUUGUGGUGAUAGUGCAUCUGGAAGAAAUGGCAUUGAGGCAGUAGGUUCUGCCAAUGGAGGUUGCUUUGAGGUUGCUAGUAUAUCUAUUCUUCCUCAAUUUCUGUCAUCUUUGCAGCACCACAGCCACAGUGACAAUGACCCCUGCUGUGAUUGGAUUCAUUGGUCGUUGUUGCAAGGAACUUGUGUGGAGGAUGUUAGAAACAUAACAGAUUCUUAGUAAUGCAAAGAGACAGCAUUUGCGUCACACACAAAUGAUGGUUUAGCAAACUCCUCCUACAGAGGAUUCUGACAAGGAGAGCCACCUCUGUAUGGACCUUUGAUAUAGUGACAUAGUCAAGACUGCUUCUGACCAGCAUUUGUAUUCCACACAGUUGGACACUGAAUGCCUUUCACUUGCAGGGUGCUAUGAUUGCAGAUGUCUUCAAAUGUACUGAUGUCCUCUGUAUGUGUUUGAUUAAUGUAAUACCCCUUGAAGUGCCUCACAGUACAUAAAUA